UACGUAGGGGGCGAGCGUUGUCCGGAAUCAUUGGGCGUAAAGAGCUCGUAGGCGGUUUGUCGCGUCGACUGUGAAAACCUGGGGCUUAACUCUGGGCCUGCAGUCGAUACGGGCAGACUUGAGUUCGGUAGGGGAGACUGGAAUUCCUGGUGUAGCGGUGAAAUGCGCAGAUAUCAGGAGGAACACCGGUGGCGAAGGCGGGUCUCUGGGCCGAUACUGACGCUGAGGAGCGAAAGCGUGGGGAGCGAACAGG
rnacentral:rRNA from 1 species